rnacentral:rRNA from 1 species
UUGACCUCGGAUCAGGUAGGGAUACCCGCUGAACUUAAGCAUAUCAAUAAGCGGAGGAAAAGAAACCAACAGGGAUUGCCCUAGUAACGGCGAGUGAAGCGGCAACAGCUCAAAUUUGAAAUCUGGCUCUUUUAGAGUCCGAGUUGUAAUUUGCAGAGGGCGCUUUGGCUUUGGCAGCGGUCCAAGUUCCUUGGAACAGGACGUCACAGAGGGUGAGAAUCCCGUACGUGGUCGCUAGCUAUUGCCGUGUAAAGCCCCUUCGACGAGUCCAGUUGUUUGGGAAUGCAGCUCUAAAUGGGGAGGAAAAUUUCUUCUAAAGCUAAAUAUUGGCCAGAGACCGAUAGCGCACAAGUAGAGUGAUCGAAAGAUGAAAAGCACUUUGGGAAAGAGAGUCAAACAGCACGGUGAAAUUUGUUGAAAGGGAACCGCUUGCAGCCA